rnacentral:lncRNA from 1 species
ACUUACUAGCCAUGUGAACUUGGGCAAGUGACCUAAUCCUCUGCAUUUCAUCUCUAAAUUGGGGAGAAUAGAAGCAUCUACUUCAUGUAGUAGCCAGGAUUAGAAGAGAGCACUCUGGCUGUCAACUGAAAACAGCAGCAGCAGCAGCAGCAGCAGCAGCAGCAGCAGCACCACCACCACCACCAACAACAACGACAACUGUUGCAUAUAUAACUGAAGAUCCACAGAGUCCCUCUUUCCAGUGUUAGUUGCUACAAGGAGUGAGAGAAUGAAGAUCUGACCUCAAGGAAUAUAAGAGUUUUUGUUCAAAGUUCCAAGACUAAGCUAUUAGAAGGGAGGGAGGGCCUGAUGCCAUGUCAUCUCUGACCAAGAGAAUUGGUAGAAUAGAAAUAAUCUAUUUCUCACGUGGUCUAGGACUUGACAAUUUACAUAGCAGUUUUAUAUCCUCUACUUCAUUUGACAUGCUCCCAUCACCCUGUGAAGCAUGUGUCAUUGUUACCACCCACUUUCCAGAUAAGGAGAGAUGGGGAGGCUCGGGAAGGUGAAUGGAUUUGCCUGAGGCCACUGGUCAGUGACUGAGCUGGGAUAGGAAUUACUUUCUCUGGUCUCUUGAUCUCACCUCUUUGUCUCACUCUUUCUGCUGCAUCUCAGUUGCUUCUGCGUCUGGCCAGACCCAAAAACAAAUCAUGUAAUUGAGUUGGAAUGUGGGUGCUGGGGCCCGGGAGACAAUGUUUUCUGCUUUUCAAUCUGUUCUUAAUUUAUUAAAGUGAUGAAAUAAGGAAGAGGCCCAGAAGGGUGGAUGUUUUCCAUCAGUGAGUCAGGGGAACAUGCACAGGCAGAAGGUCAGGAGGAAGCUGCUGUUGCUCCAGCAGCUUCACCCACUCUGGCCAAGUCCCCACAGAUGUGCUGGUGGGGGAGACCUUCUUAGAGCUGCCCCAAGAGUAAAAUAAACCAGAAAAGAGCAAGCCCUAC